rnacentral:rRNA from 1 species
GAUGAACGCUGGCGGCGUGCCUAAUACAUGCAAGUCGAGCGAACAGACGAGGAGCUUGCUCCUCUGACGUUAGCGGCGGACGGGUGAGUAACACGUGGAUAACCUACCUAUAAGACUGGGAUAACUUCGGGAAACCGGAGCUAAUACCGGAUAAUAUAUUGAACCGCAUGGUUCAAUAGUGAAAGACGGUUUUGCUGUCACUUAUAGAUGGAUCCGCGCCGCAUUAGCUAGUUGGUAAGGUAACGGCUUACCAAGGCGACGAUGCGUAACCGACCUGAGAGGGUGGUCGGCCACACUGGAACGUAGACACGGUCCAGACGCCUACGGGAGGCAGCAGUAGGGAAUCUUCCGCAAUGGGCGAAAGCCUGACGGAGCAACGCCGCGUGAGUGAUGAAGGUCUUCGGAUCGUAAAACUCUGUUAUUAGGGAAGAACAAAUGUGUAAGUAACUAUGCACGUCUUGACGGUACCUAAUCAGAAAGCCACGGCUAACUACGUG